GGUUAGGGUUAGGGUUAGGGUUGGAGUUAGGGUUAGUGUUGGAGCUAGGGUUAGGGUUGGGCUUGGAGCUAGGAUUUUUCUGAGUGCACUGAACCAACUCCCGAGUCUCUAGGACAUUCUUAAAAAAAUUUGAUUUUUUCCCAUAGGAAUGCAUGGGUUAGGGUUAUGGUUAGGGUUAGGGUUGGAGCUAGGGUUAGGGUUAGGGUUAGGGUUGGAGUUAGGGUUAGUGUUGGAGCUAGGGUUAGGGUUGGGCUUGGAGCUAGGAUUUUUCUGAGUGCACUGAACCAACUCCCGAGUCUCUAGGACGUUCCUAAAAAAAUUUGAUUUUUUCCCAUAGGAAUGCAUUGGUUAGGGUUAGGGUUAGGGUUGGAGCUAGGGUUAGGGUUAGGGUUAGGGUUGGAGUUAGGGUUAGUGUUGGAGCUAGGGUUAGGGUUGGGCUUGGAGCUAGGAUUUUUCUGAGUGCACUGAACCAACUCCCGAGUCUCUAGGACAUUCCUAAAAAUAUUUGAUUUUUUCCCAUAGGAAUGCAUGGGUUAGGGUUAGGGUUAGGGUUGGAGCUAGGGUUAGGGUUAGGGUUGGAGUUAGGGUUAGUGUUGGAGCUAGGGUUAGGGUUGGGCUUGGAGCUAGGAUUUUUCUGAGUGCACUGAACCAACUCCCGAGUCUCUAGGACGUUCCUAAAAAAAUUUGAUUUUUUUCCCAUAGGAAUGCAUGGGUUAGGGUUAGGGUAAGGGUUGGAGCUAGGGUUCGGGUUAGGGUUAGGGUUAGGGUUGGAGUUAGGGUUAGUGUUGGAGCUAGGGUUAGGGUUGGGCUUGGAGCUAGGAUUUUUCUGAGUGCACUGAACCAACUCCCGAGUCUCUAGGACAUUCCUAAAAAAAUUUGAUUUUUUCCCAUAGGAAUGCAUGGGUUAGGGUUAGGGUUAGGGUUGGAGCUAGGGUUAGGGUUAGGGUUAGGGUUGGAGUUAGGGUUAGUGUUGGAGCUAGGGUUAGGGUUGGGCUUGGAGCUAGGAUUUUUCUGAGUGCACUGAACCAACUCCCGAGUCUCUAGGACGUUCCUUAAAAAAAUUUGAUUUUUUCCCAUAGGAAUGCAUGGGUUAGGGUUAUGGUUAGGGUUAGGGUUGGAGCUAGGGUUAGGGUUAGGGUUAGGGUUGGAGUUAGGGUUAGUGUUGGAGCUAGGGUUAGGGUUGGGCUUGGAGCUAGGAUUUUUCUGAGUGCAAUGAACCAACUCCCAAGUCUCUUGGACGUUCCUAAAAAAAAUUUGAUUUUUUCCCAUAGGAAUGCAUGGGUUAGGGUUAGGGUUAGGGUUGGAGCUAGGGUUAGGGUUAGGGUUAGGGUUAGGGUUGGAGUUAGGGUUAGUGUUGGAGCUAGGGUUAGGGUUGGGCUUGGAGCUAGGAUUUUUCUGAGUGCAAUGAACCAACUCCCGAGUCUCUAGGACGUUCCUAAAAAAAUUUGAUUUUUUCCCAUAGGAAUGCAUGGGUUAGGGUUAGGGUUAGGGUUGGAGCUAGGGUUAGGGUUAGGGUUAGGGUUGGAGUUAGGGUUAGUGUUGGAGCUAGGGUUAGGGUUGGGCUUGGAGCUAGGAUUUUUCUGAGUGCACUGAACCAACUCCCGAGUCUCUAGGACGUUCCUAAAAAAAUUUGAUUUUUUUCCCAUAGGAAUGCAUGGGUUAGGGUUAGGGUUAGGGUUGGAGCUAGGGUUAGGGUUAGGGUUAGGGUUGGAGUUAGGGUUAGUGUUGGAGCUAGGGUUAGGGUUGGGCUUGGAGCUAGGAUUUUUCUGAGUGCACUGAACCAACUCCCGAGUCUCUAGGACAUUCCUAAAAAAAUUUGAUUUUUUCCCAUAGGAAUGCAUGGGUUAGGGUUAGGGUUAGGGUUAGGGUUGGAGCUAGGGUUAGGGUUAGGGUUAGGGUUGGAGUUAGGGUUAGUGUUGGAGCUAGGGUUAGGGUUGGGCUUGGAGCUAGGAUUUUUCUGAGUGCACUGAACCAACUCCCGAGUCUCUAGGACAUUCCUAAAAAAUUUGAUUUUUUCCCAUAGGAAUGCAUGGGUUAGGGUUAUGGUUAGGGUUAGGGUUGGAGCUAGGGUUAGGGUUAGGGUUAGGGUUGGAGUUAGGGUUAGUGUUGGAGCUAGGGUUAGGGUUGGGCUUGGAGCUAGGAUUUUUCUGAGUGCACUGAACCAACUCCCGAGUCUCUAGGACAUUCCUAAAAAAAUUUGAUUUUUUCCCAUAGGAAUGCAUGGGUUAGGGUUAGGGUUAGGGUUGGAGCUAGGGUUAGGGUUAGGGUUAGGGUUGGAGUUAGGGUUAGUGUUGGAGCUAGGGUUAGGGUUGGGCUUGGAGCUAGGAUUUUUCUGAGUGCACUGAACCAACUCCCGAGUCUCUAGGACAUUCCUAAAAAAAUUUGAUUUUUUCCCAUAGGAAUGCAUGGGUUAGGGUUAUGGUUAGGGUUAGGGUUGGAGCUAGGGUUAGGGUUAGGGUUAGGGUUGGAGUUAGGGUUAGUGUUGGAGCUAGGGUUAGGGUUGGGCUUGGAGCUAGGAUUUUUCUGAGUGCACUGAACCAACUCCCGAGUCUCUAGGACGUUCCUAAAAAAAUUUGAUUUUUUCCCAUAGGAAUGCAUGGGUUAGGGUUAUGGUUAGGGUUAGGGUUGGAGCUAGGGUUAGGGUUAGGGUUAGGGUUGGAGUUAGGGUUAGUGUUGGAGCUAGGGUUAGGGUUGGGCUUGGAGCUAGGAUUUUUCUGAGUGCACUGAACCAACUCCCGAGUCUCUAGGACAUUCCUAAAAAAAUUUGAUUUUUUCCCAUAGGAAUGCAUGGGUUAGGGUUAUGGUUAGGGUUAGGGUUGGAGCUAGGGUUAGGGUUAGGGUUAGGGUUGGAGUUAGGGUUAGUGUUGGAGCUAGGGUUAGGGUUGGGCUUGGAGCUAGGAUUUUUCUGAGUGCACUGAACCAACUCCCGAGUCUCUAGGACAUUCCUAAAAAAAUUUGAUUUUUUCCCAUAGGAAUGCAUGGGUUAGGGUUAGGGUUAGGGUUGGAGCUAGGGUUAGGGUUAGGGUUAGGGUUGGAGUUAGGGUUAGUGUUGGAGCUAGGGUUAGGGUUAGGGUUAGGGUUGGAGUUAGGGUUAGUGUUGGAGCUAGGGUUAGGGUUGGGCUUGGAGCUAGGAUUUUUCUGAGUGCACUGAACCAACUCCCGAGUCUCUAGGACGUUCCUAAAAAAAUUUGAUUUUUUCCCAUAGGAAUGCAUGGGUUAGGGUUAGGGUUAGGGUUGGAGCUAGGGUUAGGGUUAGGGUUAGGGUUGGAGUUAGGGUUAGUGUUGGAGCUAGGGUUAGGGUUGGGCUUGGAGCUAGGAUUUUUCUGAGUGCACUGAACCAACUCCCGAGUCUCUAGGACAUUCCUAAAAAAAUUUGAUUUUUUCCCAUAGGAAUGCAUGGGUUAGGGUUAUGGUUAGGGUUAGGGUUUGAGCUAGGGUUAGGGUUAGGGUUAGGGUUGGAGUUAGGGUUAGUGUUGGAGCUAGGGUUAGGGUUGGGCUUGGAGCUAGGAUUUUUCUGAGUGCACUGAACCAACUCCCGAGUCUCUAGGAUGUUCCUAAAAAAAUUUGAUUUUUUCCCAUAGGAAUGCAUGGGUUAGGGUUAGGGUUAGGGUUGGAGCUAGGGUUAGGGUUAGGGUUAGGGUUGGAGUUAGGGUUAGUGUUGGAGCUAGGGUUAGGGUUGGGCUUGGAGCUAGGAUUUUUCUGAGUGCACUGAACCAACUCCCGAGUCUCUAGGACGUUCCUAAAAAAAUUUGAUUUUUUCCCAUAGGAAUGCAUGGGUUAGGGUUAGGGUUAGGGUUGGAGCUAGGGUUAGGGUUAGGGUUAGGGUUGGAGUUAGGGUUAGUGUUGGAGCUAGGGUUAGGGUUGGGCUUGGAGCUAGGAUUUUUCUGAGUGCACUGAACCAACUCCCGAGUCUCUAGGACAUUCCUAAAAAAAUUUGAUUUUUUUCCCAUAGGAAUGCAUGGGUUAGGGUUAGGGUUAGGGUUGGAGCAAGGGUUAGGGUUAGGUUUAGGGUUGGAGUUAGGGUUAGUGUUGGAGCUAGGGUUAGGGUUGGUCUUGGAGCUAGGAUUUUUCUGAGUGCACUGAACCAACUCCCGAGUCUCUAGGACAUUCCUAAAAAAAUUUGAUUUUUUCCCAUAGGAAUGCAUGGGUUAGGGUUAGGGUUAGGGUUGGAGCUAGGGUUAGGGUUAGGGUUAGGGUUGGAGUUAGGGUUAGUGUUGGAGCUAGGGUUAGGGUUGGGCUUGGAGCUAGGAUUUUUCUGAGUGCACUGAACCAACUCCCGAGUCUCUAGGACAUUCCUAAAAAAAUUUGAUUUUUUCCCAUAGGAAUGCAUGGGUUAGGGUUAUGGUUAGGGUUAGGGUUGGAGCUAGGGUUAGGGUUAGGGUUAGGGUUGGAGUUAGGGUUAGUGUUGGAGCUAGGGUUAGGGUUGGGCUUGGAGCUAGGAUUUUUCUGAGUGCACUGAACCAACUCCCGAGUCUCUAGGACGUUCCUAAAAAAAUUUGAUUUUUUCCCAUAGGAAUGCAUGGGUUAGGGUUAGGGUUGGAGCUAGGGUUAGGGUUAGGGUUAGGGUUGGAGUUAGGGUUAGUGUUGGAGCUAGGGUUAGGGUUGGGCUUGGAGCUAGGAUUUUUCUGAGUGCACUGAACCAACUCCCGAGUCUCUAGGACAUUCCUAAAAAAAUUUGAUUUUUUCCCAUAGGAAUGCAUGGGUUAGGGUUAGGGUUAGGGUUGGAGCUAGGGUUAGGGUUAGGGUUAGGGUUGGAGUUAGGGUUAGUGUUGGAGCUAGGGUUAGGGUUGGGCUUGGAGCUAGGAUUUUUCUGAGUGCACUGAACCAACUCCCGAGUCUCUAGGACAUUCCUAAAAAAAUUUGAUUUUUUCCCAUAGGAAUGCAUGGGUUAGGGUUAUGGUUAGGGUUAGGGUUGGAGCUAGGGUUAGGGUUAGGGUUAGGGUUGGAGUUAGGGUUAGUGUUGGAGCUAGGGUUAGGGUUGGGCUUGGAGCUAGGAUUUUUCUGAGUGCACUGAACCAACUCCCGAGUCUCUAGGACAUUCCUAAAAAAAUUUGAUUUUUUCCCAUAGGAAUGCAUGGGUUAGGGUUAGGGUUAGGGUUAGGGUUGGAGCUAGGGUUAGGGUUAGGGUUAGGGUUGGAGUUAGGGUUAGUGUUGGAGCUAGGGUUAGGGUUGGGCUUGGAGCUAGGAUUUUUCUGAGUGCACUGAACCAACUCCCGAGUCUCUAGGACAUUCCUAAAAAAAUUUGAUUUUUUCCCAUAGGAAUGCAUGGGUAAGGGUUAUGGUUAGGGUUAGGGUUGGAGCUAGGGUUAGGGUUAGGGUUAGGGUUGGAGUUAGGGUUAGUGUUGGAGCUAGGGUUAGGGUUGGGCUUGGAGCUAGGAUUUUUCUGAGUGCACUGAACCAACUCCCGAGUCUCUAGGACAUUCCUAAAAAAAUUUGAUUUUUUCGCAUAGGAAUGCAUGGGUUAGGGUUAUGGUUAGGGUUAGGGUUGGAGCUAGGGUUAGGGUUAGGGUUGGAGUUAGGGUUAGUGUUGGAGCUAGGGUUAGGGUUGGGCUUGGAGCUAGGAUUUUUCUGAGUGCACUGAACCAACUCCCGAGUCUCUAGGACAUUCCUAAAAAAAUUUGAUUUUUUCCCAUAGGAAUGCAUGGGUUAGGGUUAUGGUUAGGGUUAGGGUUGGAGCUAGGGUUAGGGUUAGGGUUAGGGUUGGAGUUAGGGUUAGUGUUGGAGCUAGGGUUAGGGUUGGGCUUGGAGCUAGGAUUUUUCUGAGUGCACUGAACCAACUCCCGAGUCUCUAGGACAUUCCUAAAAAAAUUUGAUUUUUUCCCAUAGGAAUGCAUGGGUUAGGGUUAUGGUUAGGGUUAGGGUUGGAGCUAGGGUUAGGGUUAGGGUUAGGGUUGGAGUUAGGGUUAGUGUUGGAGCUAGGGUUAGGGUUGGGCUUGGAGCUAGGAUUUUUCUGAGUGCACUGAACCAACUCCCGAGUCUCUAGGACAUUCCUAAAAAAAUUUGAUUUUUUCCCAUAGGAAUGCAUGGGUUAGGGUUAUGGUUAGGGUUAGGGUUGGAGCUAGGGUUAGGGUUAGGGUUAGGGUUGGAGUUAGGGUUAGUGUUGGAGCUAGGGUUAGGGUUGGGCUUGGAGCUAGGAUUUUUCUGAGUGCACUGAACCAACUCCCGAGUCUCUAGGACGUUCCUAAAAAAAUUUGAUUUUUUCCCAUAGGAAUGCAUGGGUUAGGGUUAGGGUUAGGGUUGGAGCUAGGGUUAGGGUUAGGGUUAGGGUUGGAGUUAGGGUUAGUGUUGGAGCUAGGGUUAGGGUUGGGCUUGGAGCUAGGAUUUUUCUGAGUGCACUGAACCAACUCCCGAGUCUCUAGGACAUUCCUAAAAAAAUUUGAUUUUUUCCCAUAGGAAUGCAUGGGUUAGGGUUAGGGUUAGGGUUGGAGCUAGGGUUAGGGUUAGGGUUAGGGUUAGGGUUGGAGUUAGGGUUAGUGUUGGAGCUAGGGUUAGGGUUGGGCUUGGAGCUAGGAUUUUUCUGAGUGCACUGAACCAACUCCUGAGUCUCUAGGACAUUCCUAAAAAAAUUUGAUUUUUUCCCAUAGGAAUGCAUGGGUUAGGGUUAGGGUUAGGGUUGGAGCUAGGGUUAGGGUUAGGGUUAGGGUUGGAGUUAGGGUUAGUGUUGGAGCUAGGGUUAGGGUUGGGCUUGGAGCUAGGAUUUUUCUGAGUGCACUGAACCAACUCCCGAGUCUCUAGGACGUUCCUAAAAAAAUUUGAUUUUUUCCCAUAGGAAUGCAUGGGUUAGGGUUAGGGUUAGGGUUGGAGCUAGGGUUAGGGUUAGGGUUAGGGUUGGAGUUAGGGUUAGUGUUGGAGCUAGGGUUAGGGUUGGGCUUGGAGCUAGGAUUUUUCUGAGUGCACUGAACCAACUCCCGAGUCUCUAGGACAUUCCUAAAAAAAUUUGAUUUUUUCCCAUAGGAAUGCAUGGGUUAGGGUUAGGGUUAGGGUUGGAGCUAGGGUUAGGGUUAGGGUUAGGGUUGGAGUUAGGGUUAGUGUUGGAGCUAGGGUUAGGGUUGGGCUUGGAGCUAGGAUUUUUCUGAGUGCACUGAACCAACUCCCGAGUCUCUAGGACGUUCCUAAAAAAAUUUGAUUUUUUCCCAUAGGAAUGCAUGGGUUAGGGUUAGGGUUAGGGUUGGAGCUAGGGUUAGGGUUAGGGUUAGGGUUGGAGUUAGGGUUAGUGUUGGAGCUAGGGUUAGGGUUGGGCUUGGAGCUAGGAUUUUUCUGAGUGCACUGAACCAACUCCCGAGUCUCUAGGACAUUCCUAAAAAAAUUUGAUUUUUUUCCCAUAGGAAUGCAUGGGUUAGGGUUAGGGUUAGGGUUGGAGCAAGGGUUAGGGUUAGGUUUAGGGUUGGAGUUAGGGUUAGUGUUGGAGCUAGGGUUAGGGUUGGUCUUGGAGCUAGGAUUUUUCUGAGUGCACUGAACCAACUCCCGAGUCUCUAGGACAUUCCUAAAAAAAUUUGAUUUUUUCCCAUAGGAAUGCAUGGGUUAGGGUUAGGGUUAGGGUUGGAGCUAGGGUUAGGGUUAGGGUUAGGGUUGGAGUUAGGGUUAGUGUUGGAGCUAGGGUUAGGGUUGGGCUUGGAGCUAGGAUUUUUCUGAGUGCACUGAACCAACUCCCGAGUCUCUAGGACAUUCCUAAAAAAAUUUGAUUUUUUCCCAUAGGAAUGCAUGGGUUAGGGUUAUGGUUAGGGUUAGGGUUGGAGCUAGGGUUAGGGUUAGGGUUAGGGUUGGAGUUAGGGUUAGUGUUGGAGCUAGGGUUAGGGUUGGGCUUGGAGCUAGGAUUUUUCUGAGUGCACUGAAGCAACUCCCGAGUCUCUAGGACGUUCCUAAAAAAAUUUGAUUUUUUCCCAUAGGAAUGCAUGGGUUAGGGUUAGGGUUAGGGUUGGAGCUAGGGUUAGGGUUAGGGUUAGGGUUGGAGUUAGGGUUAGUGUUGGAGCUAGGGUUAGGGUUGGGCUUGGAGCUAGGAUUUUUCUGAGUGCACUGAACCAACUCCCGAGUCUCUAGGACAUUCCUAAAAAAAUUUGAUUUUUUCCCAUAGGAAUGCAUGGGUUAGGGUUAGGGUUAGGGUUGGAGCUAGGGUUAGGGUUAGGGUUAGGGUUGGAGUUAGGGUUAGUGUUGGAGCUAGGGUUAGGGUUGGGCUUGGAGCUAGGAUUUUUCUGAGUGCACUGAACCAACUCCCGAGUCUCUAGGACAUUCCUAAAAAAAUUUGAUUUUUUCCCAUAGGAAUGCAUGGGUUAGGGUUAUGGUUAGGGUUAGGGUUGGAGCUAGGGUUAGGGUUAGGGUUAGGGUUGGAGUUAGGGUUAGUGUUGGAGCUAGGGUUAGGGUUGGGCUUGGAGCUAGGAUUUUUCUGAGUGCACUGAACCAACUCCCAAGUCUCUAGGACAUUCCUAAAAAAAUUUGAUUUUUCCCCAUAGGAAUGCAUGGGUUAGGGUUAGGGUUAGGGUUGGAGCUAGGGUUAGGGUUAGGGUUAGGGUUGGAGUUAGGGUUAGUGUUGGAGCUAGGGUUAGGGUUGGGCUUGGAGCUAGGAUUUUUCUGAGUGCACUGAACCAACUCCCGAGUCUCUAGGACAUUCCUAAAAAAAUUUGAUUUUUUCCCAUAGGAAUGCAUGGGUUAGGGUUAUGGUUAGGGUUAGGGUUGGAGCUAGGGUUAGGGUUAGGGUUAGGGUUGGAGUUAGGGUUAGUGUUGGAGCUAGGGUUAGGGUUGGGCUUGGAGCUAGGAUUUUUCUGAGUGCACUGAACCAACUCCCGAGUCUCUAGGACAUUCCUAAAAAAAUUUGAUUUUUUCCCAUAGGAAUGCAUGGGUUAGGGUUAUGGUUAGGGUUAGGGUUGGAGCUAGGGUUAGGGUUAGGGUUAGGGUUGGAGUUAGGGUUAGUGUUGGAGCUAAGGUUAGGGUUGGGCUUGGAGCUAGGAUUUUUCUGAGUGCACUGAACCAACUCCCGAGUCUCUAGGACAUUCCUAAAAAAAAUUGAUUUUUUCCCAUAGGAAUGCAUGGGUUAGGGUUAUGGUUAGGGUUAGGGUUGGAGCUAGGGUUAGGGUUGGAGUUAGGGUUAGUGUUGGAGCUAGGGUUAGGGUUGGGCUUGGAGCUAGGAUUUUUCUGAGUGCACUGAACCAACUCCCGAGUCUCUAGGACAUUCCUAAAAAAAUUUGAUUUUUUCCCAUAGGAAUGCAUGGGUUAGGGUUAGGGUUAGGGUUAGGGUUGGAGCUAGGGUUAGGGUUAGGGUUAGGGUUGGAGUUAGGGUUAGUGUUGGAGCUAGGGUUAGGGUUGGGCUUGGAGCUAGGAUUUUUCUGAGUGCACUGAACCAACUCCCGAGUCUCUAGGACGUUCCUAAAAAAAUUUGAUUUUUUCCCAUAGGAAUGCAUGGGUUAGGGUUAGGGUUAGGGUUGGAGCUAGGGUUAGGGUUGGAGUUAGGGUUAGUGUUGGAGCUAGGGUUAGGGUUGGGCUUGGAGCUAGGAUUUUUCUGAGUGCACUGAACCAACUCCCGAGUCUCUAGGACAUUCCUAAAAAAAUUUGAUUUUUUCCCAUAGGAAUGCAUGGGUUAGGGUUAGGGUUAGGGUUGGAGCUAGGGUUAGGGUUAGGGUUAGGGUUGGAGUUAGGGUUAGUGUUGGAGCUAGGGUUAGGGUUGGGCUUGGAGCUAGGAUUUUUCUGAGUGCACUGAACCAACUCCCGAGUCUCUAGGACAUUCCUAAAAAAAUUUGAUUUUUUCCCAUAGGAAUGCAUGGGUUAGGGUUAUGGUUAGGGUUAGGGUUGGAGCUAGGGUUAGGGUUAGGGUUAGGGUUGGAGUUAGGGUUAGUGUUGGAGCUAGGGUUAGGGUUGGGCUUGGAGCUAGGAUUUUUCUGAGUGCACUGAACCAACUCCCGAGUCUCUAGGACGUUCCUAAAAAAAAUUUGAUUUUUUCCCAUAGGAAUGCAUGGGUUAGGGUUAGGGUUAGGGUUGGAGCUAGGGUUAGGGUUAGGGUUAGGGUUAGGGUUGGAGUUAGGGUUAGUGUUGGAGCUAGGGUUAGGGUUGGGCUUGGAGCUAGGAUUUUUCUGAGUGCACUGAACCAACUCCCGAGUCUCUAGGACAUUCCUAAAAAAAUUUGAUUUUUUCCCAUAGGAAUGCAUGGGUUAGGGUUAGGGUUAGGGUUGGAGCUAGGGUUAGGGUUAGGGUUAGGGUUGGAGUUAGGGUUAGUGUUGGAGCUAGGGUUAGGGUUGGGCUUGGAGCUAGGAUUUUUCUGAGUGCACUGAACCAACUCCCGAGUCUCUAGGACGUUCCCUAAAAAAAUUUGAUUUUUUCCCAUAGGAAUGCAUGGGUUAGGGUUAGGGUUAGGGUUGGAGCUAGGGUUAGGGUUAGGGUUAGGGUUGGAGUUAGGGUUAGUGUUGGAGCUAGGGUUAGGGUUGGGCUUGGAGCUAGGAUUUUUCUGAGUGCACUGAACCAACUCCCGAGUCUCUAGGACGUUCCUAAAAAAAUUUGAUUUUUUUCCCAUAGGAAUGCAUGGGUUAGGGUUAGGGUUAGGGUUGGAGCUAGGGUUAGGGUUAGGGUUAGGGUUAGGGUUGGAGUUAGGGUUAGUGUUGGAGCUAGGGUUAGGGUUGGGCUUGGAGCUAGGAUUUUUCUGAGUGCACUGAACCAACUCCCGAGUCUCUAGGACAUUCCUAAAAAAAUUUGAUUUUUUCCCAUAGGAAUGCAUGGGUUAGGGUUAGGGUUAGGGUUGGAGCUAGGGUUAGGGUUAGGGUUAGGGUUGGAGUUAGGGUUAGUGUUGGAGCUAGGGUUAGGGUUGGGCUUGGAGCUAGGAUUUUUCUGAGUGCACUGAACCAACUCCCGAGUCUCUAGGACAUUCCUAAAAAAAUUUGAUUUUUUCCCAUAGGAAUGCAUGGGUUAGGGUUAUGGUUAGGGUUAGGGUUGGAGCUAGGGUUAGGGUUAGGGUUAGGGUUGGAGUUAGGGUUAGUGUUGGAGCUAGGGUUAGGGUUGGGCUUGGAGCUAGGAUUUUUCUGAGUGCACUGAACCAACUCCCGAGUCUCUAGGACAUUCCUAAAAAAAUUUGAUUUUUUCCCAUAGGAAUGCAUGGGUUAGGGUUAUGGUUUGGGUUAGGGUUGGAGCUAGGGUUAGGGUUAGGGUUAGGGUUGGAGUUAGGGUUAGUGUUGGAGCUAGGGUUAGGGUUGGGCAUGGAGCUAGGAUUUUUCUGAGUGCACUGAACCAACUCCCGAGUCUCUAGGACGUUCCUAAAAAAAUUUGAUUUUUUCCCAUAGGAAUGCAUGGGUUAGGGUUAGGGUUAGGGUUGGAGCUAGGGUUAGGGUUAGGGUUAGGGUUGGAGUUAGGGUUAGUGUUGGAGCUAGGGUUAGGGUUGGGCUUGGAGCUAGGAUUUUUCUGAGUGCACUGAACCAACUCCCGAGUCUCUAGGACAUUCCUAAAAAAAUUUGAUUUUUUCCCAUAGGAAUGCAUGGGUUAGGGUUAGGGUUAGGGUUGGAGCUAGGGUUAGGGUUAGGGUUAGGGUUGGAGUUAGGGUUAGUGUUGGAGCUAGGGUUAGGGUUGGGCUUGGAGCUAGGAUUUUUCUGAGUGCACUGAACCAACUCCCGAGUCUCUAGGACAUUCCUAAAAAAAUUUUGAUUUUUUCCCAUAGGAAUGCAUGGGUUAGGGUUAUGGUUAGGGUUAGGGUUGGAGCUAGGGUUAGGGUUAGGGUUAGGGUUGGAGUUAGGGUUAGUGUUGGAGCUAGGGUUAGGGUUGGGCUUGGAGCUAGGAUUUUUCUGAGUGCACUGAACCAACUCCCGAGUCUCUAGGACGUUCCUAAAAAAAUUUGAUUUUUUCCCAUAGGAAUGCAUGGGUUAGGGUUAGGGUUAGGGUUGGAGCUAGGGUUAGGGUUAGGGUUAGGGUUGGAGUUAGGGUUAGUGUUGGAGCUAGGGUUAGGGUUGGGCUUGGAGCUAGGAUUUUUCUGAGUGCACUGAACCAACUCCCGAGUCUCUAGGACAUUCCUAAAAAAAUUUGAUUUUUUCCCAUAGGAAUGCAUGGGUUAGGGUUAGGGUUAGGGUUGGAGCUAGGGUUAGGGUUAGGGUUAGGGUUGGAGUUAGGGUUAGUGUUGGAGCUAGGGUUAGGGUUGGGCUUGGAGCUAGGAUUUUUCUGAGUGCACUGAACCAACUCCCGAGUCUCUAGGACGUUCCUAAAAAAAUUGGAUUUUUUCCCAUAGGAAUGCAUGGGUUAGGGUUAGGGUUAGGGUUGGAGCUAGGGUUAGGGUUAGGGUUAGGGUUGGAGUUAGGGUUAGUGUUGGAGCUAGGGUUAGGGUUGGGCUUGGAGCUAGGAUUUUUCUGAGUGCACUGAACCAACUCCCGAGUCUCUAGGACAUUCCUAAAAAAAUUUGAUUUUUUUCCCAUAGGAAUGCAUGGGUUAGGGUUAGGGUUAGGGUUGGAGCUAGGGUUAGGGUUAGGGUUAGGGUUGGAGUUAGGGUUAGUGUUGGAGCUAGGGUUAGGGUUGGGCUUGGAGCUAGGAUUUUUCUGAGUGCACUGAACCAACUCCCGAGUCUCUAGGACGUUCCCUAAAAAAAUUUGAUUUUUUCCCAUAGGAAUGCAUGGGUUAGGGUUAGGGUUAGGGUUGGAGCUAGGGUUAGGGUUAGGGUUAGGGUUAGGGUUGGAGUUAGGGUUAGUGUUGGAGCUAGGGUUAGGGUUGGGCUUGGAGCUAUUACUUUUCUGAGUGCACUGAACCAACUCCCGAGUCUCUAGGACAUUCCUAAAAAAAUUUGAUUUUUUCCCAUAGGAAUGCAUGGGUUAGGGUUAGGGUUAGUGUUGGUGCUAGGGUUAGGGUUAGGGUUAGGGUUGGAGUUAGGGUUAGUGUUGGAGCUAGGGUUAGGGUUGGGCUUGGAGCUAGGAUUUUUCUGAGUGCACUGAACCAACUCCCGAGUCUCUAGGACAUUCCUAAAAAAAUUUGAUUUUUUCCCAUAGGAAUGCAUGGGUUAGGGUUAUGGUUAGGGUUAGGGUUGGAGCUAGGGUUAGGGUUAGGGUUAGGGUUGGAGUUAGGGUUAGUGUUGGAGCUAGGGUUAGGGUUGGGCUUGGAGCUAGGAUUUUUCUGAGUGCACUGAACCAACUCCCGAGUCUCUAGGACAUUCCUAAAAAAAUUUGAUUUUUUCCCAUAGGAAUGCAUGGGUUAGGGUUAUGGUUAGGGUUAGGGUUGGAGCUAGGGUUAGGGUUAGGGUUAGGGUUGGAGUUAGGGUUAGUGUUGGAGCUAGGGUUAGGGUUGGGCAUGGAGCUAGGAUUUUUCUGAGUGCACUGAACCAACUCCCGAGUCUCUAGGACGUUCCUAAAAAAAUUUGAUUUUUUCCCAUAGGAAUGCAUGGGUUAGGGUUAGGGUUAGGGUUGGAGCUAGGGUUAGGGUUAGGGUUAGGGUUGGAGUUAGGGUUAGUGUUGGAGCUAGGGUUAGGGUUGGGCUUGGAGCUAGGAUUUUUCUGAGUGCACUGAACCAACUCCCGAGUCUCUAGGACAUUCCUAAAAAAAUUUGAUUUUUUUCCCAUAGGAAUGCAUGGGUUAGGGUUAGGGUUAGGGUUGGAGCUAGGGUUAGGGUUAGGUUUAGGGUUGGAGUUAGGGUUAGUGUUGGAGCUAGGGUUAGGGUUGGGCUUGGAGCUAGGAUUUUUCUGAGUGCACUGAACCAACUCCCGAGUCUCUAGGACAUUCCUAAAAAAAUUUGAUUUUUUUCCCAUAGGAAUGCAUGGGUUAGGGUUAGGGUUAGGGUUGGAGCUAGGGUUAGGGUUAGGGUUAGGUUUGGAGUUAGGGUUAGUGUUGGAGCUAGGGUUAGGGUUGGGCUUGGAGCUAGGAUUUUUCUGAGUGCACUGAACCAACUCCCGAGUCUCUAGGACAUUCCUAAAAAAAUUUGAUUUUUUCCCAUAGGAAUGCAUGGGUUAGGGUUAUGGUUAGGGUUAGGGUUGGAGCUAGGGUUAGGGUUAGGGUUAGGGUUGGAGUUAGGGUUAGUGUUGGAGCUAGGGUUAGGGUUGGGCUUGGAGCUAGGAUUUUUCUGAGUGCACUGAACCAACUCCCGAGUCUCUAGGACAUUCCUAAAAAAAUUUGAUUUUUUCCCAUUGGAAUGCAUGGGUUAGGGUUAUGGUUAGGGUUAGGGUUAGGGUUAGGGUUGGAGUUAGGGUUAGUGUUGGAGCUAGGGUUAGGGUUGGGCUUGGAGCUAGGAUUUUUCUGAGUGCACUGAACCAACUCCCGAGUCUCUAGGACAUUCCUAAAAAAAUUUGAUUUUUUUCCCAUAGGAAUGCAUGGGUUAGGGUUAUGGUUAGGGUUGGAGCUAGGGUUAGGGUUAGGGUUAGGGUUGGAGUUAGGGUUAGUGUUGGAGCUAGGGUUAGGGUUGGGCUUGGAGCUAGGAUUUUUCUGAGUGCAAUGAACCAACUCCCGAGUCUCUAGGACGUUCCUAAAAAAAUUUGAUUUUUUCCCAUAGGAAUGCAUGGGUUAGGGUUAUGGUUUGGGUUAGGGUUGGAGCUAGGGUUAGGGUUAGGGUUAGGGUUGGAGUUAGGGUUAGUGUUGGAGCUAGGGUUAGGGUUGGGCUUGGAGCUAGGAUUUUUCUGAGUGCACUGAACCAACUCCCGAGUCUCUAGGACGUUCCCUAAAAAAAUUUGAUUUUUUCCCAUAGGAAUGCAUGGGUUAGGGUUAGGGUUGGAGCUAGGGUUAGGGUUAGGGUUAGGGUUAGGGUUGGAGUUAGGGUUAGUGUUGGAGCUAGGGUUAGGGUUGGGCUUGGAGCUAGGAUUUUUCUGAGUGCACUGAACCAACUCCCGAGUCUCUAGGACAUUCCUAAAAAAAUUUGUUUUUUUCCCAUAGGAAUGCAUGGGUUAGGGUUAUGGUUAGGGUUAGGGUUGGAGCUAGGGUUAGGGUUAGGGUUAGGGUUGGAGUUAGGGUUAGUGUUGGAGCUAGGGUUAGGGUUGGGCUUGGAGCUAGGAUUUUUCUGAGUGCACUGAACCAACUCCCGAGUCUCUAGGACGUUCCCUAAAAAAAUUUGAUUUUUUCCCAUAGGAAUGCAUAGGUUAGGGUUAUGGUUAGGGUUGGAGCUAGGGUUAGGGUUAGGGUUAGGGUUGGAGUUAGGGUUAUUGUUGGAGCUAGGGUUAGGAUUGGGCUUGGAGCUAGGAUUUUUCUGAGUGCACUGAACCAACUCCCGAGUCUCUAGGACGUUCCUAAAAAAAUUUGAUUUUUUCCCAUAGGAAUGCAUGGGUUAGGGUUAGGGUUAGGGUUGGAGCUAGGGUUAGGGUUAGGGUUAGGGUUAGGGUUGGAGUUAGGGUUAGUGUUGGAGCUAGGGUUAGGGUUGGGCUUGGAGCUAGGAUUUUUCUGAGUGCACUGAACCAACUCCCGAGUCUCUAGGACAUUCCUAAAAAAAUUUGAUUUUUUCCCAUAGGAAUGCAUGGGUUAGGGUUAUGGUUAGGGUUGGAGCUAGGGUUAGGGUUAGGGUUAGGGUUAGGGUUGGAGUUAGGGUUAGUGUUGGAGCUAGGGUUAGGGUUGGGCUUGGAGCUAGGAUUUUUCUGAGUGCAAUGAACCAACUCCCGAGUCUCUUGGACGUUCCUAAAAAAAAUUGAUUUUUUUCCCAUAGGAAUGCAUGGGUUAGGGUUAGGGUUAGGGUUGGAGCUAGGGUUAGGGUUAGGGUUAGGGUUGGAGUUAGGGUUAGUGUUGGAGCUAGGGUUAGGGUUGGGCUUGGAGCUAGGAUUUUUCUGAGUGCAAUGAACCAACUCCCGAGUCUCUAGGACGUUCCUAAAAAAAUUUGAUUUUUUCCCAUAGGAAUGCAUGGGUUAGGGUUAGGGUUAGGGUUGGAGCUAGGGUUAGGGUUAGGGUUAGGGUUGGAGUUAGGGUUAGUGUUGGAGCUAGGGUUAGGGUUGGGCUUGGAGCUAGGAUUUUUCUGAGUGCACUGAACCAACUCCCGAGUCUCUUGGACAUUCCUAAAAAAAUUUGAUUUUUUCCCAUAGGAAUGCAUGGGUUAGGGUUAGGGUUAGGGUUGGAGCUAGGGUUAGGGUUAGGGUUAGGGUUGGAGUUAGGGUUAGUGUUGGAGCUAGGGUUAGGGUUGGGCUUGGAGCUAGGACUUUUCUGAGUGCAAUGAACCAACUCCCGAGUCUCUAGGACGUUCCCUAAAAAAAUUUGAUUUUUUCCCAUAGGAAUGCAUGGGUUAGGGUUAGGGUUAGGGUUGGAGCUAGGGUUAGGGUUAGGGUUAGGGUUGGAGUUAGGGUUAGUGUUGGAGCUAGGGUUAGGGUUGGGCUUGGAGCUAGGAUUUUUCUGAGUGCACUGAACCAACUCCCGAGUCUCUAGGACAUUCCUAAAAAAAUUUGAUUUUUUCCCAUAGGAAUGCAUGGGUUAGGGUUAGGGUUAGGGUUGGAGUUAGGGUUAGUGUUGGAGCUAGGGUUAGGGUUGGGCUUGGAGCUAGGAUUUUUCUGAGUGCACUGAACCAACUCCCGAGUCUCUAGGACAUUCCUAAAAAAAUUUGAUUUUUUUCCCAUAGGAAUGCAUGGGUUAGGGUUAGGGUUAGGGUUGGAGCUAGGGUUAGGGUUAGGUUUAGGGUUGGAGUUAGGGUUAGUGUUGGAGCUAGGGUUAGGGUUGGGCUUGGAGCUAGGAUUUUUCUGAGUGCACUGAACCAACUCCCGAGUCUCUAGGACAUUCCUAAAAAAAUUUGAUUUUUUCCCAUAGGAAUGCAUGGGUUAGGGUUAGGGUUAGGGUUGGAGCUAGGGUUAGGGUUAGGGUUAGGGUUGGAGUUAGGGUUAGUGUUGGAGCUAGGGUUAGGGUUGGGCUUGGAGCUAGGAUUUUUCUGAGUGCACUGAACCAACUCCCGAGUCUCUAGGACAUUCCUAAAAAAAUUUGAUUUUUUCCCAUAGGAAUGCAUGGGUUAGGGUUAUGGUUAGGGUUAGGGUUAGGGUUAGGGUUGGAGUUAGGGUUAGUGUUGGAGCUAGGGUUAGGGUUGGGCUUGGAGCUAUUACUUUUCUGAGUGCACUGAACCAACUCCCGAGUCUCUAGGACAUUCCUAAAAAAAUUUGAUUUUUUCCCAUAGGAAUGCAUGGGUUAGGGUUAGUGUUAGGGUUGGAGCUAGGGUUAGGGUUAGGGUUAGGGUUGGAGUUAGGGUUAGUGUUGGAGCUAGGUUUAGGGUUGGGCUUGGAGCUAGGAUUUUUCUGAGUGCACUGAACCAACUCCCGAGUCUCUAGGAUAUUCCUAAAAAAAUUUGAUUUUUUCCCAUAGGAAUGCAUGGGUUAGGGUUAUGGUUAGGGUUAGGGCUGGAGCUAGGGUUAGGGUUAGGGUUAGGGUUGGAGUUAGGGUUAGUGUUGGAGCUAGGUUUAGGGUUGGGCUUGGAGCUAGGAUUUUUCUGAGUGCACUGAACCAACUCCCGAGUCUCUAGGACAUUCCUAAAAAAAUUUGAUUUUUUCCCAUAGGAAUGCAUGGGUUAGGGUUAGGGUUAGGGUUGGAGCUAGGGUUAGGGUUAGGGUUAGGGUUGGAGUUAGGGUUAGUGUUGGAGCUAGGGUUAGGGUUGGGCUUGGAGCUAGGAUUUUUCUGAGUGCACUGAACCAACUCCCGAGUCUCUAGGACGUUCCUAAAAAAAUUUGAUUUUUUUCCCAUAGGAAUGCAUGGGUUAGGGUUAGGGUUAGGGUUGGAGCUAGGGUUAGGGUUAGGGUUAGGGUUAGGGUUGGAGUUAGGGUUAGUGUUGGAGCUAGGGUUAGGGUUGGGCUUGGAGCUAGGAUUUUUCUGAGUCUACUGAACCAACUCCCGAGUCUCUAGGACAUUCCUAAAAAAAUUUGAUUUUUUCCCAUAGGAAUGCAUGGGUUAGGGUUAGGGUUAGGGUUGGAGCUAGGGUUAGGGUUAGGGUUAGGGUUGGAGUUAGGGUUAGUGUUGGAGCUAGGGUUAGGGUUGGGCUUGGAGCUAGGAUUUUUCUGAGUGCACUGAACCAACUCCCGAGUCUCUAGGACGUUCUUUAAAAAAAUUUGAUUUUUUCCCAUAGGAAUGCAUGGGUUAGGGUUAUGGUUAGGGUUAGGGUUGGAGCUAGGGUUAGGGUUAGGGUUAGGGUUGGAGUUAGGGUUAGUGUUGGAGCUAGGGUUAGGGUUGGGCUUGGAGCUAGGAUUUUUCUGAGUGCAAUGAACCAACUCCCGAGUCUCUUGGACGUUCCUAAAAAAAAUUUGAUUUUUUCCCAUAGGAAUGCAUGGGUUAGGGUUAGGGUUAGGGUUGGAGCUAGGGUUAGGGUUAGGGUUAGGGUUGGAGUUGGGGUUAGUGUUGGAGCUAGGGUUAGGGUUGGGCUUGGAGCUAGGAUUUUUCUGAGUGCAAUGAACCAACUCCCGAGUCUCUAGGACGUUCCUAAAAAAAUUUGAUUUUUUCCCAUAGGAAUGCAUGGGUUAGGGUUAGGGUUAGGGUUGGAGCUAGGGUUAGGGUUAGGGUUAGGGUUGGAGUUAGGGUUAGUGUUGGAGCUAGGGUUAGGGUUGGGCUUGGAGCUAGGAUUUUUCUGAGUGCACUGAACCAACUCCCGAGUCUCUAGGACAUUCCUAAAAAAAUUUGAUUUUUUCCCAUAGGAAUGCAUGGGUUAGGGUUAUGGUUAGGAUUAGGGUUGGAGCUAGGGUUAGGGUUAGGGUUAGGGUUGGAGUUAGGGUUAGUGUUGGAGCUAGGGUUAGGGUUGGGCUUGGAGCUAGGAUUUUUCUGAGUGCAAUGAACCAACUCCCGAGUCUCUUGGACGUUCCUAAAAAAAUUGGAUUUUUUCCCAUAGGAAUGCAUGGGUUAGGGUUAGGGUUAGGGUUGGAGCUAGGGUUAGGGUUAGGGUUAGGGUUGGAGUUAGGGUUAGUGUUGGAGCUAGGGUUAGGGUUGGGCUUGGAGCUAGGAUUUUUCUGAGUGCAAUGAACCAACUCCCGAGUCUCUAGGACGUUCCUAAAAAAAUUUGAUUUUUUCCCAUAGGAAUGCAUGGGUUAGGGUUAGGGUUAGGGUUGGAGCUAGGGUUAGGGUUAGGGUUAGGGUUGGAGUUAGGGUUAGUGUUGGAGCUAGGGUUAGGGUUGGGCUUGGAGCUAGGAUUUUUCUGAGUGCACUGAACCAACUCCCGAGUCUCUAGGACAUUCCUAAAAAAAUUUGAUUUUUUCCCAUAGGAAUGCAUGGGUUAGGGUUAUGGUUAGGGUUAGGGUUGGAGCUAGGGUUAGGGUUAGGGUUAGGGUUGGAGUUAGGGUUAGUGUUGGAGCUAGGGUUAGGGUUGGGCUUUGAGCUAGGAUUUUUCUGAGUGCAAUGAACCAACUCCCGAGUCUCUUGGACGUUCCUAAAAAAUUUGAUUUUUUCCCAUAGGAAUGCAUGGGUUAGGGUUAGGGUUAGGGUUGGAGCUAGGGUUAGGGUUAGGGUUAGGGUUGGAGUUAGGGUUAGUGUUGGAGCUAGGGUUAGGGUUGGGCUUGGAGCUAGGAUUUUUCUGAGUGCACUGAACCAACUCCCGAGUCUCUAGGACAUUCCUAAAAAAAUUUGAUUUUUUCCCAUAGGAAUGCAUGGGUUAGGGUUAUGGUUAGGGUUGGAGCUAGGGUUAGGGUUAGGGUUAGGGUUGGAGUUAGGGUUAUUGUUGGAGCUAGGGUUAGGAUUGGGCUUGGAGCUAGGAUUUUUCUGAGUGCACUGAACCAACUCCCGAGUCUCUAGGACGUUCCUAAAAAAAUUUGAUUUUUUCCCAUAGGAAUGCAUGGGUUAGGGUUAGGGUUAGGGUUGGAGCUAGGGUUAGGGUUAGGGUUAGGGUUAGGGUUGGAGUUAGGGUUAGUGUUGGAGCUAGGGUUAGGGUUGGGCUUGGAGCUAGGAUUUUUCUGAGUGCACUGAACCAACUCCCGAGUCUCUAGGACAUUCCUAAAAAAAUUUGAUUUUUUUCCAUAGGAAUGCAUGGGUUAGGGUUAUGGUUAGGGUUGGAGCUAGGGUUAGGGUUAGGGUUAGGGUUAGGGUUGGAGUUAGGGUUAGUGUUGGAGCUAGGGUUAGGGUUGGGCUUGGAGCUAGGAUUUUUCUGAGUGCAAUGAACCAACUCCCGAGUCUCUUGGACGUUCCUAAAAAAAUUUGAUUUUUUCCCAUAGGAAUGCAUGGGUUAGGGUUAGGGUUAGGGUUGGAGCUAGGGUUAGGGUUAGGGUUAGGGUUGGAGUUAGGGUUAGUGUUGGAGCUAGGGUUAGGGUUGGGCUUGGAGCUAGGAUUUUUCUGAGUGCAAUGAACCAACUCCCGAGUCUCUAGGACGUUCCUAAAAAAAUUUGAUUUUUUCCCAUAGGAAUGCAUGGGUUAGGGUUAGGGUUAGGGUUGGAGCUAGGGGUAGGGUUAGGGUUAGGGUUGGAGUUAGGGUUAGUGUUGGAGCUAGGGUUAGGGUUGGGCUUGGAGCUAGGAUUUUUCUGAGUGCACUGAACCAACUCCCGAGUCUCUAGGACAUUCCUAAAAAAAAAUGAUUUUUUCCCAUAGGAAUGCAUGGGUUAGGGUUAUGGUUAGGGUAAGGGUUGGAGCUAGGGUUAGGGUUAGGGUUAGGGUUGGAGUUAGGGUUAGUGUUGGAGCUAGGGUUAGGGUUGGGCUUGGAGCUAGGAUUUUUCUGAGUGCAAUGAACCAACUCCCGGGUCUCUUGGACGUUCCUAAAAAAAUUAGAUUUUUUCCCAUAGGAAUGCAUGGGUUAGGGUUAGGGUUAGGGUUGGAGCUAGGGUUAGGGUUAGGGUUAGGGUUGGAGUUAGGGUUAGUGUUGGAGCUAGGGUUAGGGUUGGGCUUGGAGCUAGGAUUUUUCUGAGUGCAAUGAACCAACUCCCGAGUCUCUAGGACGUUCCUAAAAAAAUUUGAUUUUUUCCCAUAGGAAUGCAUGGGUUAGGGUUAGGGUUAGGGUUGGAGCUAGGGUUAGGGUUAAGGUUAGGGUUGGAGUUAGGGUUAGUGUUGGAGCUAGGGUUAGGGUUGGGCUUGGAGCUAGGAUUUUUCUGAGUGCACUGAACCAACUCCCGAGUCUCUUGGACAUUCCUAAAAAAAUUUGAUUUUUUCCCAUAGGAAUGCAUGGGUUAGGGUUAGGGUUAGGGUUGGAGCUAGGGUUAGGGUUAGGGUUAGGGUUGGAGUUAGGGUUAGUGUUGGAGCUAGGGUUAGGGUUGGGCUUGGAGCUAGGACUUUUCUGAGUGCAAUGAACCAACUCCCGAGUCUCUAGGACGUUCCCUAAAAAAUUUGAUUUUUUCCCAUAGGAAUGCAUGGGUUAGGGUUAGGGUUAGGGUUGGAGCUAGGGUUAGGGUUAGGGUUAGGGUUGGAGUUAGGGUUAGUGUUGGAGCUAGGGUUAGGGUUGGGCUUGGAGCUAGGAUUUUUCUGAGUGCACUGAACCAACUCCCGAGUCUCUAGGACAUUCCUAAAAAAAUUUGAUUUUUUCCCAUAGGAAUGCAUGGGUUAGGGUUAGGGUUAGGGUUGGAGUUAGGGUUAGUGUUGGAGCUAGGGUUAGGGUUGGGCUUGGAGCUAGGAUUUUUCUGAGUGCACUGAACCAACUCCCGAGUCUCUAGGACAUUCCUAAAAAAAUUUGAUUUUUUUCCCAUAGGAAUGCAUGGGUUAGGGUUAGGGUUAGGGUUGGAGCUAGGGUUAGGGUUAGGUUUAGGGUUGGAGUUAGGGUUAGUGUUGGAGCUAGGGUUAGGGUUGGGCUUGGAGCUAGGAUUUUUCUGAGUGCACUGAACCAACUCCCGAGUCUCUAGGACAUUCCUAAAAAAAUUUGAUUUUUUUCCCAUAGGAAUGCAUGGGUUAGGGUUAGGGUUAGUGUUGGAGCUAGGGUUAGGGUUGGGCUUGGAGCUAGGAUUUUUCUGAGUGCACUGAACCAACUCCCGAUUCUCUAGGACAUUCCUAAAAAAAUUUGAUUUUUUCCCAUAGGAAUGCAUGG
rnacentral:lncRNA from 1 species